rnacentral:ribozyme from 12 species
CAGCUCACAGCAUCACACCAAAAGCAUACAUGCCCCAAAAGGAAAAGACAACAGCAACAAACCUGAGAACAACAACCAGUCCAAAAAAUAGACCAGCAAAAGAACAACGCAAAAAAACCGAACUCGAAGAGGUUCUUCUGAAUUCCCCGCUAUUAUUUUUCGCUUUUAGCAUUUUUUUUACCUCCUUUUUUCUCUCUUCUUGUAAAAUCAAAAAA